rnacentral:rRNA from 1 species
UACGAAGGGGGCUAGCGUUGCUCGGAAUUACUGGGCGUAAAGGGAGCGUAGGCGGAUAGUUUAGUCAGAGGUGAAAGCCCAGGGCUCAACCUUGGAAUUGCCUUUGAUACUGGCUAUCUUGAGUGUGGGAGAGGUAUGUGGAACUCCGGGUGUAGAGGUGAAAUUCGUAGAUAUUCGGAAGAACACCAGUGGCGAAGGCGACAUACUGGCCCAUUACUGACGCUGAGGCUCGAAAGCGUGGGGAGCAAACAGG